rnacentral:rRNA from 22 species
CCUGGUGCCCAGGGCGCGGUGGCACCACCCCGACCCAUCCCGAACUCGUGGGUGAAACACCGCAGCGGUGAAAAUACUGGGAGGUUCGCCUCCUGGGAAAAUAGCUCGGUGCCAGGA